GGUUAAGCAAAUGCCACUUUGUGCAUAUUGAAUAGUAGUUGCCACACUACUACUAAGUAAAAUGUAUUUAGGGUGUCAAAGUAGGCAAUCAUUGGUGGUAUGUCUGGGUUCCAUUUAUUUUUUUAAUCAGGCACUGCACCCUGUUCAGUUAGUUAGUUAGUUUGAUCCAAAUCCUAACAAGAAAGAAUGUAAAGAUAGGAAAAGUGAAUUCUGUAAUGACAAGGUGAGGGAGAGAAUGAAUGGUAAAGUGAAAAUGUUAGGAUAGGUAGGGUAUCUAUUAACUGGAUCCCAGGGAG